rnacentral:rRNA from 1 species
GCAAGUCGAACGGUAACAUUUCUAGCUUGCUAGAAGAUGACGAGUGGCGGACGGGUGAGUAAUACUUAGGGAUCUGCCUUUGAGUGGGGGAUAACUAUUGGAAACGAUAGCUAAUACCGCAUAACGUUUACGGACCAAAGGGGGCGCUUGCGCUCUCGCUCGAAGAGGAACCUAAGCGAGAUUAGCUUGUUGGUGAGGUAAAGGCUCACCAAGGCGACGAUCUCUAGCUGUUCUGAGAGGAAGAUC